UACGGGGGGGGCAAGCGUUGUUCGGAAUUACUGGGCGUAAAGGGCGCGUAGGCGGCCUGCUAAGUCACACGUGAAAUCCCCCGGCUCAACCGGGGAACUGCGUGUGAUACUGGCGGGCUUGAAUUCGGGAGAGGGAUGUGGAAUUCCAGGUGUAGCGGUGAAAUGCGCAGAUAUCAGGAAGAACACCGACGGCGAAGGCAGCUCGCUGGGACGGUACUGACGCUGAGGCGCGAAAGCGUGGGGAGCGAACAGG
rnacentral:rRNA from 1 species